ensembl:lncRNA
CCAACAUGUUUUGACACACGAAGGGCGCUUACUUCUUGUUUCUUGCUCACACAAGAAGACGGGGAAUCUAGCUCAUUAACUAUUGAUGCACUGCCUUUUUAACCUUUUAGGGUUUGAAAGAUAUAACCGCUUUUAUUGUUUUCUAUUCAAUUUUUGUAAACCUUUUCGCUUUUUUUAUAUAAAUAAAAAUUCUCCUUUUUGGGGAACAAAAGACCAUCUGUUUCCGGGGGAAUUCUUUCCACUGAGGGGCCUCCUCCAUUUAGCAGAAUGACAAGAACACCGCUUCGAAACCUGCAGACACCGGCGAGCUGCCCGUCCCGAUAGACCCAGACCUGCUCCAAGCCUCCCGUCUCCUCCCCAACCUGAACCCUCAUCAGAGAGACGUCCUCAGUAGUCCCAGUCAGGGACAUCAGGCCUCCCGUCUCCGUGCUGCGCAGACGGACACGAUAGAGCUGUUAAUACCUGGAGUAAUGGACGUAGCGAUCCUACUUGCUGCCUGCCGCUGAGCUGCCACAGAUCGGCCACCUCCCCCGGGCGGAGAAGCAGCUGGGCG